AGCAGAGAAUGAAGGGGAAACCAACAAGCUAAACACACAAUAGAAGUACUGGCUUGCAUCUGCAUGCCAUAAUUUUUUUUCACCAACAUAUUUAAACAAAAAGCAGAUUAUCUUACACUAACUUCUGCAUCUUGAUCAGCUUCACUUGCUUCCCUUAGUUUAGCUGAA